rnacentral:rRNA from 1 species
GUUUGAUCCUGGCUCAGAGCGAACGUUAGCGGCGCGCCUAACACAUGCAAGUCGCACGAGAAAGGGGGCAACCCCCGGUACAGUGGCGCACGGGUGAGUAACACGUGGGUGAUCUGCCCAGAAGAAGGGGAUAACCUCUCGAAAGGGGGGCUAAUACCGCAUAGGACCACCGGGGCUUUGGCUCUGUGGUGAAAGGGGGCCUCUGUUUACAAGCUCCUGCUUCUGGAUGAGCCCGCGUCCCAUCAGCUAGUUGGUAGGGUAAUGGCCUACCAAGGCUACGACGGGUAGCUGGUCUAAGAGGAUGGCCAGCCACACUGGAACUGAGACACGGUCCAGACUCCUACGGGAGGCAGCAGUGGGGAAUCUUGCGCAAUGGGCGAAAGCCUGACGCAGCGACGCCGCGUGGGUGACGAAGGCCU